GAUGAAAGAACGUAGCGAAAUGCGAUAAGUAAUGUGAAUUGCAGAAUUCAGUGAAUCAUCGAAUCUUUGAACGCACAUUGCGCCCCCUGGUAUUCCGGGGGGCAUGCCUGUUCGAGCGUCAUUACAACCCUCAAGCUCUGCUUGGUAUUGGGCCCCGCCAGUUCUGGCGGGCCCUAAAGUCAGUGGCGGUGCCUUCCGGCUCCGAGCGUAGUAAUUCUUCUCGCUCUGGAGACCCGGUUGUGUGCUUGCCAACAACCCCCAAUUUUUUAAGGUUGACCUCGGAUCAGGUAGGGAUACCCGCUGAACUUAAGCAUAUCAAUAAGCGGAGGA
rnacentral:misc_RNA from 1 species